GGGAGCCUCCAUCUUUGGAUUCUUUUGGUACAGGAACAACAUCCCUCCAGGUGACCUCCACCUACCAUGGCUCUGUAGACGCCAGCUCCUCAGCACAGGACCUGAGGUGGUGAGCUGGGAGGAAACCCACCAGACGUGCUCUUCUUCCUGAGGUGCUUAGAGUCAGGUUCCACAGUUUCAAGCAUGGCCAACCUCCACCUUCCCCUCUCUCAGCCCAUCCACCUGAUUCUCCUUUGCUGUUGGUUGAAGAGCUCAGACAAAAGACCAAGGCUGUGGCUCCAGUUCCAGCACUGCCUCUCCCUGUGCAUUAGACCCUAAGUGAAUUUCUUAACUUGGCUGAGCCUCUAUUUUCCCAUCUGUACAGUGGGGAUAAUACCCUUCUCCACAGAGUUGUUGAGAGGAUCCACUCGAAUGUAAAUUAUGAAAAAGAGCUGUCCUUUCCAAAAAGCCAAAAGAAGACUGUUGGAGGAGGAGGUGGGCGAUACUCUUCUCCUUCGACAGGUGAGAAGAUCACACAGGAUUCAGAUGGCUCCGAGGUGACAAGCUCAGGAAUAAUCCCAGCUUCACUGUUAGAAACUGCAUUUUCUGGGUCUUAAGACAUGGAAAUCUCCAUCCAAUGAGGAUGUAGAUCAUUGAACAGAUGUACACCCUCUGUACUGCACUGCAUCAGGAGUCAGGAGACCUGGCUUCUAGUCCUGGCUUUAACAUGAGGACAAAGCUCUAUAACAUCUGCAAAGUCACAGCCCUUCUCUGGGUCUUGAAGUCCCUGUUAGAAAAUCAAGUGGUCCCACUAGAGAAUCCAUACGAUAUCUUCAGCCCUAAAGUGCAGAAGUCCCAAGACUGUCACUCUGUGCAAGACCCACCCCCAUCUCACAGCUGGGGACUGAGCCAGGGCUCAGCAAUGCUGGCAUGAGACUCAAAUGCAAAGAUCCUGCUUCCCGUUGCCUCAAAGCACCAGCUCUCUCGCUCCAUCCUCCCAAGAGCCUCCAAGGCGCCAUUGGCUUCCUGGGACUCUGAGUCUGCCG
rnacentral:lncRNA from 10 species